AGCAAAUGUGCUGAUUGUCUAGCCCUGCUACGGUAGUUCCAGGCUCUCCUCUAAGAAAUGAAGCUGAAUUAGCGCAAGCUAACUGUAGCAUCUCAGUAACGGGUCAAAGGGAGUUGGAGCACAUUGUCUUUCUUUUUUUUUUCACGAUUUAUUAAUUUUAUUUAUAUGAGUACACUGUAGCUGUGUUCAGACACACCAGAGGAGGGCAUCGGAUCCUAUUACAGAUGGUUGUGAGCCACCAUGUGGCUGCUGGGAAUUGAACUCAGGACCUCUGGAAGUGCUCUUAACCAUCUCUCCAGUCGGCAAAUUUUCUUAAGUUUAGAAUAGGUGUGGCAUAUUGCUGAAUAAGAUGGUAAAAGUUGCUUGCCUACUGAGUAGAGAAUAUAGCCUAUGACUUUUACCCAAAUGAAAAAUGUACUUAACAUAGAUUUGAAAGCAGGACUUGACUUAAUUCUAAAUUAGAAAUACACAGUCAGCAACAAAACAAAGAAUCUUCUCUUUAGUAGAAAGACAAAAGCUGACUCUUUCAAGGAGUUGAUGUGGUGGUUUUAUAGAGAGAAGAUGUUUAACACAGAGCUUGGACUUCCCACAACAUUUCAGACACUGUAAAUAAGUAAUAUGCAGGACUUUUGUGUGAAGGCCUAUUAAUUAUUAAUGUCAGGGGUUUUAGAACCUGGAGAUUGUUCCUUUUCUGUUCCUAUAAAAACAACUGAUCAUACAAAGAGUUAUUCGUAAUAAUGAAUCAAGACACUAGCACUGAAAUAAAAAUAUGACUUAGUCAUCUAAUUUUGCAAAUAGAGAUAUAUUAGUCCCACAAAAAAUUUAUGACUCUAUCAAAACCACUAAUUAUACUUAAAAGAGAACAUCAGAUAGGUAAUUUAUAAUUUUCUAGCUGCCAGCCCAUUUCAUUAAAAUAUUGACUAGACUACUAAUUCUAAACUAAUUUCCUGUCAAAUUAAAUAAAUUAAAUUUUGUUAAACAUACCCCUGUGAAUGUGUAUGAAGUUUCUGGUAGGAGCACAUUGGAGUGCAUACUAUGCAUAAAUAAGGAGGGCCAGUUAACCAAUCAGAUUUUUCUGAGUUGGAGUUGGCCUUUCUCCCUUUCCAUCCUUUUUUCUUAUUAGAGUUAAAUGAAUAAAAACCUUUUCUUCCCAUCCUUGCUUGCUUCAAAGGCUUUGCUUCUCGGUGCCUUCUGUCUCACUGAUCCUCUGGCAUUGUUGGCUUGAAGCUUUCAUGAUUCGUGACAUUUACCAUUGGCUAAGGUUAAGAUUUUAAUGUCUGGCAUUGUUGUUUAUUCGGUGUUGCCAUUGAAAAGUCAUUCUGUAUUCUACUAAUAAAGGGGAGGUUACAAAGAAUACAGCACAACAAAACAGAAGCAGGUCUUGUGGCUCAAGCCUGUUCUUUGGAAGUAAAGACAAGAGGAUUAGGAGUUCAAGGCUGGCCUGGAUUAAAUAAGACCUAAGCAGAGGUAAAGUAAGGUACGCACUAAGAGCUUAGCACCCAUUCUGUGUGAAAAUGUACCACACAUCGAGCCUUGACUUCCUCUUAGUGCUUCAGCAUCCCUGGUGCUGGCCCUAUUAACGGAAGAAUGAUAAUCUUAAUUUAAGUUCUUGGAAGUAUUUUUAAAAGUGUAGAGUAGGAGCAGCAGAGGAAAUAUCUUAGAUGUGAAGGAAUAUUUAAUGUAAUUAUAUAAUGUAUAGUAUGAUCCUUCAUCUACUUUUAGAAUUGAAAUCUCUUGUUGACAGUGAGCAUUCCAGUAGGAGAAGUAGCUUCAAGGGAGAUGAAUAUGCUUACUCGUGUGUAUGUUUUGAAGCAUGUUUUCACAGUGGAAAUGGUAUACGACUCAGGUGCUUACCAUAUUAUAAGGGAGGGUUUCCUUUAAAAUGUCGGGGGUUUGUAUGGUUUCCAGCAGCCGCUGCUUUCAUGUUAUUCUUGCAUUGAUCGGGGAGGUAGGACUCAUUCCCUCUUCUGGAGUGAAUUAGGAAAAGAAGGUAUCAUGUAUUGCCCAAAAAUGUAGUUACUUUAUAGCUAAAUUCAUUACGUGUUGCUCUGAGCAAAUCGUUAACAAGAAGAAAGGUAAGGGAGGAAGUUUCUCUCGUCUCACAGUUUGAGGAUACAGUCCACCUUAGAAAGGAAACCAUGGUGGCAGGACUGGCUGGGUUCAUGGCAGCGAGGACCUGAGGCCCCCCUCACAUCUAUAUAGAUCAGGAAACAGAGGGAAGGGGGACUAUCAGUGCCCAGCUUGCUUUCGCCAACUCCUGUUUUUGUUAGUUCUGGACUUCAGCCCGUGGAAUGGGGCCACCCACACUCAGUCUGAGCCUCCCCCUGCAGUCAAUCCUCCCUGGAAACACCUCACAGACAUGCUCUUUUUUAAAAGUCAUACUUUAUUUUUUAUUUCUGAGUAUGUUUAUGUGUCUGUGUAUAUAUUCAUUAUGUGCACAUGCAUCCAUGUUCCUACAAAAGCCAGAAGAACGUCUCAGAACCCUCAGACUGAAGUUACUGGCAGUUGUGAGCUGCCUGGCAUGGAUGAUGAGAGCCAAACUCUGGUACUCUGAAAGCACUCUCAGCUGCUGAGCUCUUGCUGUUCUGUGUCUCUGUAGCCCUUGGGCAUUUCUUUAUCCAAUAAAGUUGACAAGCACGAUUAGCCAUUACAAUAACCAAGAAAUGAAACAAGCGUCCAAUUUCAUUUCCUACUUUGUUUUAACCAGAUUUGCCCGAGGGACAAAAUCUCAAUCAUUAUAUUUUUCACCCUUAGGUAAUUUUGAAACUUAAAAGGCGGGGAAAAAGACCACAAAAUGGAAUCAGAAGCCAGAUUUGGGGGCUGGAAUUCUAUGUUACUUUGUUGGUAUAAUGAUGGAGAGGACCUUGGUCAGUGUCAUCUUUGGUGCCCUCUAGUCUAAUCAUAAUAUGAAUGGAAAAGUGGUCCUCCCCUCCUCUACUAGUUCACACCCAAGAGCAUUUUUUUAGUAGCAUCUGAACAUGAUGAUGGUUUUUC
rnacentral:lncRNA from 1 species